rnacentral:rRNA from 1 species
UGCCAGCAGCCGCGGUAACACGAACUGCGCGAACGUUAUUCGGAAUUACUGGGCGUAAAGCGCACGUAGGCGGAUUAGUCAGUCAGAGGUGAAAUCCCAGGGCUCAACCCUGGAACUGCCUUUGAUACUGCUAGUCUUGAGUUCGAGAGAGGUAAGUGGAAUUCCGAGUGUAGAGGUGAAAUUCGUAGAUAUUCGGAGGAACACCAGUGGCGAAGGCGGCUUACUGGCUCGAUACUGACGCUGAGGUGCGAAAGUGUGGGGAGCAAACAGGAUUAGAUA